rnacentral:siRNA from 1 species
ACCAUGCCUCUUUGCUAACGCCUG